UGAACCGAAGGGAACGACCUGUUAAGUCAGGAGCCUUCACAGGUGCUGCAUGGCUGUCGUCAGCUCGUGCCGUGAGGUGUUGGGUUAAGUCCCCCAACGAGCGUAACCCUCGUUGCCAGUUAUAUUCUCUGGCGAGACUGCCCCGCAAAACGGGGAGGAAGGUGGGGAUGACGUCAAGUCAGCAUGGCCCUUAUGCCUUGGGCUACACACACGCUACAAUGGGUGGUACAAUGGGUUGCAAUGGAGCGAUUCGGAGCUAAUCCCCAAAACCAUCCUCAGUUCAGAUUGCAGGCUGAAACCCGCCUGCAUGAAGUCGGAGUUGCUAGUAACCGCAUAUCAGCAUGUUGCGGUGAAUACGUUCUCGGGCCUU
rnacentral:rRNA from 1 species